UACGAAGGGGGCUAGCGUUGUUCGGAAUUACUGGGCGUAAAGCGCACGUAGGCGGAUUUGUAAGUCAGGGGUGAAAUCCCGGGGCUCAACCUCGGAACUGCCUUUGAUACUGCAAGUCUCGAGUCCGAUAGAGGUGAGUGGAAUUCCUAGUGUAGAGGUGAAAUUCGUAGAUAUUCGGAGGAACACCAGAAGCGAAGGCGGCUCACUGGCCCGAUACUGACGCUGAGGCGCGAAAGCGUGGGGAGCAAACAGG
rnacentral:rRNA from 1 species